GUCUAUGGGCAUACCACCCAGAACAUUCUGCUCAGGUCUGAUCUCUAAAUCCAGGGAGGAUUGGGUCUGGUUAGUACUCAGACGGGAGACCACCUGGAAAUACUGGGUGUUGGAGGCU
rnacentral:rRNA from 1 species